AUUGAACGCUGGCGGCAGGCCUAACACAUGCAAGUCGAGCGAGCGGCGGACGGGUGAGUAAUGCCUGGGAAUUGCCCAGUCGAGGGGGAUAACAGUUGUAAACGACUGCUAAUACCGCAUACGAUGGGAUUGCCCAGCUGGGAUUAGCUAGUUGGGGAGGUGAUGGCGCACCAAGGCGCCGAUCCCUAGCUGUUCUGAGAGGCUGGUCUGCCACACUGGAACUGAGCCACGGGCCAGACUCCUACGGGAGGCAGCCGUGGGUAAGAUUGCACAAUGGGGGAAACCCUGAUGCAGCCAUGCCGCGUGUGUUACGAAGGCCUUCGGGUUGUAAAGCACUUUCAGCGAGGAGGCGUUACUCGCAGAAGAAGCACCGGCUAACUCCGUGCCAGCAGCCGCGGUAAUUC
rnacentral:rRNA from 1 species